rnacentral:rRNA from 1 species
AGCGAACGCUGGCGGCAGGCCUAACACAUGCAAGUCGAACGAACUCUUCGGAGUUAGUGGCGGACGGGUGAGUAACACGUGGGAACGUGCCUUUUGGUUCGGAAUAACUCAGGGAAACUUGUGCUAAUACCGAAUGUGCCCUUCGGGGGAAAGAUUUAUCGCCAUUAGAGCGGCCCGCGUCUGAUUAGCUAGUUGGUGAGGUAACGGCUCACCAAGGCGACGAUCAGUAGCUGGUCUGAGAGGAUGACCAGCCACACUGGGACUGAGACACGGCCCAGACUCCUACGGGAGGCAGCAGUGGGGAAUCUUGCGCAAUGGGCGAAAGCCUGACGCAGCCAUGCCGCGUGAAUGAUGAGGGUCUUAGGAUUGUAAAAUUCUUUCACCGGGGACGAUAAUGACGGUACCCGGAGAAGAAGCCCCGGCUAACUUCGUG